rfam:TPA: Bos taurus chromosome 11, whole genome shotgun sequence.
UCCCUGGUGGCUCAGACGGUAAAGUGUCUGCUUACAAUGCAGGAGACCCAGGUUCAAUCCCUGCGUCGGGAA